UAGGUGAACCUGCGGAAGGAUCAUUAACGAGUUGAACGGGGUUGUAGCUGGCCUUCACAGGCAUGUGCACACCUCACUCAUCCACUCUACACCUGUGCACUUACUGUGGGUUUCGAGAGGCCGCGCUUGCGUGGUUGAUCGGGCUCACGUCUAUUACAAACUCUUCAGUAUCAGAAUGUGUAUCGCGAUGUAACGCAUCUAUAUACAACUUUCAGCAACGGAUCUCUUGGCUCUCGCAUCGAUGAAGAACGCAGCGAAAUGCGAUAAGUAAUGUGAAUUGCAGAAUUCAGUGAAUCAUCGAAUCUUUGAACGCACCUUGCGCUCCUUGGUAUUCCGAGGAGCAUGCCUGUUUGAGUGUCGUGUAAUUCUCAACCUAUAAAUCCUUGUGGUUUUUAGGCUUGGACUUGGAGGCUUUUGCCGGCUUUACCGUCGGCUCCUCUUAAAUGCAUUAGCUUGAUUCCUUGCGGAUCGGCUCUCAGUGUGAUAAUUAUCUGCGCUGUGACCGUGAAGCGUUUGGCGAGCUUCUAACCGUCUCUUUGAGACAAACACUUUGACAUCUGACCUCAAAUCAGGUAGGACU
rnacentral:rRNA from 1 species